GCCAUAUUAGACUUGAUGUAGAAUUCGACAUCCGUUCCUGUGUAGUCGGUUCCGGAAGGGUGGCCAAUUCAUAUCCGUAGGUCCGGGAUCAAAGGAAUAUGCCUUAUAUGUCCAGAACAGGUCUUGGAGCAAAUUGGGAUGAUUUUUUUUGAAGAAUUUAUGAUAAUAAUCAUGAUUUGUAGAUUGGGUUGCAUACCCGGACAAAAACCUACCCCACUAGGUUCCGGAAUAUCUCCGUGGCCAAGUGACCGAUUCCGAAUUUCUUUGUAGAUUCUGAAAAUAGAGAUUUGUCCGGUUCUUUUGAGGGGUGAACGAACUUAUUUGGCCAAAAGAGGCCGAAGAUACAGCAUUUUUAAGGUUUUUUCGGUAUCUCGCAUCAGACGUUCGGACUGUAAGGGUUAAAAAAAAUAUUAACUGCUACUAUUUUCAAAAAAGUUACCUAAAAAUGGCUAUCACAUGAAAACGGUGCACUUUUUCCAAAAUAAUCGAAAUUGAAGUACUUUUUGAUUGCAAAUUUGAUUUUGCAUCGAAAAAUUAAGUGGAAAAAAUUUUGUGAACAAUAUAUCGUUUUUUUUUCAAAAUCAGUAUGGAUUCAAACAUUCAUAACACGGUCAAUGAUUUUUUGCACAUUCUGGAAAUUUUGGAAAAGUUGGCAUUUGAUGUCCCUUAAAACAUAUCAAAAAAAUAUAAAAAUAGUGUUUUUUUUUGCAGAUCAAGUUUUAGUGACAAAAAGUUAAAUUUCAAAUCACCAAAUUUUUUUACCGUGUAUCAUUUGUUUUUAGUGUAGUUCUUAUCCAUACGUACAAUUUUGCCCAAGACACCAAAUCGAUCAAAAAUAUCCUUCAAAUGAUACAGACUUUUUAAUUUUCAUACAUCAUUUUUGUAUGGACAGCUGCCAAAUUUGUAUGGAAAAUUAUAUGGACAAACUAAUGAUGCAAAAUGGCUUAUUUGGGCAAACCGAAGGCACCAAAAAAGUUUCAGCCGGAUUAAAAAAUACAAAAAUUAAAAUUAAAGAAAAAUAACCGAUUUCGUAGAGAAUUGCUCUGUUUCAAAUCACCCAAAAAACUCCAGAAAUAUUCAAUUGGUAGUGUGUAAAUCAAAUUGGCAAUGCCAAAUCGGUGGUUUUAUCGUUUAAUUUUUGAAUAUUUGUUUAAAGAAAAUCCACAUUAAUUUGAGGAUAAAUAAUUAAAAAUUUAAAAUUUGCUAAAAUUCAACUAAUAAAAGUCUUUGUUUUCAAAGGAAUAUAAACUUUCAAUGUCAUUAAAACCAAUUAUUAAGAAAAAUUAAAAAAAUCACUUAGAAAUUUUUGUUAAGGAAUUGCCUACACAUUUGAAAAAAAAAAAAUCUAUUUUUUAAAUGUUUCUUUAUACUUAUUAUGAAACCAUUAUUUUUAGUUAUUAUUGACAUAUUUUCCGAUUCUUCCUCAUUUUCAAAAAAAAAAAAAAAAUCAUGACAAUUUGAGAAUACUUUACUGCCCAUGAUCGCAUAAAUGUCCCAUAUGCAAGUUACGAACGGGGGAGAGUUCUCUAGAAUAAGUUAGCACGCUUGCGUGGCUGAUUUAACUCUGUUUUAUUGAACUUAAAAUAUGCUAAAGUGUCCCGCGGCUGCCGUUGCCUCUCUCCAGAAAGGUGGUGGUGUUGGUGUGGGCAGUACAGGUGUGGGUGUGAUUACGGGCAUGGUGGCUAGGGUGGUCGCUCGUGUCCGUAACUCCUUGUCCUUUAGUUUUGUGCGUCUCGCGCAAACUUUGGCAAAAAAGGAAAAAAGGAAGGACUUUAGUAUUGAUGCGAUAUUUUUCUUUGUUCUUUUCGCGAUAAACUCUUUCCUUGGGGCGAUAAGCAAAACUAUGUAAAUUAUAUUGCAUGUAAAAUUACAGAUAAGUGGAAUACUCCUCGCUUCAUGUUAUCCCACAUGUUACACAAAAAAAGUAAUGCUGAAUUACACAUUUUUCCUCGAUAGGGAUGUAACUUGGAAUCACUACUGGGGUGUAAUUUGUAAUGUAAUGCUGAAUUACAUUUUUUUUUAUUGGAUGUAAUUCGGCAUUACAAAUUCAAAAAGAGACGCAAAUUGACAUGCGAUGUAAUUGUUAAUUCCGCCAUUAGGGAAAGAGUUUAAUUGUGUUCAAGAGUGCCCGUCUGCAGAGUGGAUUGUGGUUGUUAUUCACGUCCUAAAAAUAAAGAAUAGGUUAGAAUACGCAAAGAACAGUGUUAUUUUUUCAAUCGACGGAGCUUCUGCUUGUAAAGCUUCCGAUUUUCUCGUCUACUACGACAACGGGUUCAAAUCUACUUUUUGAUUUAGACUUAAUACCUUGCAUUGUAUUCAAUACAACCCCUCCAACGUCGAGCAAAGAUUCAUUUUCUCUUUUAGCAUUAUGGUAGUCAUGUUGCUGUUUUUGUGUAUUUGAUAUUUUUUCUGUGACCCCAUCAUAUAGUUUGUUUUUAUAUUGAAUCAUUUAAUUGAUAUUAAGAGGUCUUUUCGAGCCGUCUGCUAUUCCAUAAAAUAUUUCUCGUGGUUUGAGAGAAGUGCAAAUAUGAAUUGUAUUGUUAUACAGUGUGCAAGAGAUGAAUCAGUGAUUAAUCUUCAAAUUUGUGCUUAUUUGUUCGAAAGAUUUCCAAUAACGUGGAGUGGAACCUUUCCACGAUUCCGUUAUCCUGACUAUGAUUGGUAGGCGUGAAAUAUUGCUGAAUGUCGAGGUAUGCUAGUAAUCCUCUCACUUCAAUAGAUUUUAUGGCUGGCUCGUUGUUCGAUACAAUUAACAUGGGGUUUCCAUAUAAUGAAAAAUAUUUGAUAAACGCUUUCCUUACAUGAGGAAUUGAACCAGAUUUUAUUGGAAUCAAAGUUCCGAAUCUAGAAAAUUUAUCAACAAUUGAUAAAAAUUGAGUAGGCUGAAUUAUGAAAAUUUCAGCAUGUAUGAUUUCCAACGGUCCUUUUGGUAUAGGUGUGAAACGAAAGCGAAUUUUAUACGGUCUCCUUUCGUACUUCUGUUUAUUAUGUUUCGAGCAAAAGUCCUAAAAAAAUAAAAAUAAAAUAAUAAUAAUAAUAAUAAUAAUAAACAAGCGAGAAUACGUCAUCGAAAUCGAACUUACCUAGUUCAAACAACGCCCCCAAUAAAUCUACCUCCAUCACGCAAGGCGCAAACGAUGCACUAGGAACACCGGCGUCGGAUUCAGCAUCCUCCUCGCUGGAAGUAUCCCACCGCUGUCACCACGUGUAGAUACUGGAAGUAUCCAGGACCUUCGUUCCGAGGAGUGUGAGAUUAUACUUUUCGGAUUUAUAACACUUCACUUUACUCACUCAACCUUUUAUUGGUAUUACAAAUACAAUUACAAUUUCAAUUACUGUUCAAGGAUCACAAUUCAAGGAUCUACUACCACGAUUUUAAGGAUCAGAAAAUAGCCUAAAUACCCGAAUAACUCAAUAACUGAAUAACUCCAUAACGGAAUAACUCAAUAACGGAAUAACUCAAUAAUGGAGUCCAUUCGAUCACCUUUUAUACUAAGGUCAAGAUUAGUAUCCCAUCCCCACUCUUUUGUACUAAAAUAUCGAUUCUCUCGAUAAUUGGAGGGGAAGUGACCUUGGUUCCGGUCAAUGACCGCGAACGCGUGGACAUUCCAAAGGUAUCGGAAAUUUCCACUACUAAGUGAUCUUUGGACUUUCCCACGAUCAAGUUAGUGGAAAUUUCCAUUGUUGUUUUUCACCUUUGGACCCGGGGCGCUGUACUUAGAUGUCGCUAUUCCCCGGGUAUCAUCCCCAGGCGAGAGGUCUUUUUUCCCCGCUUGAACCUCUUAGCCUUGACCUGCCCCAAACACCGAACGGUGACGUCAUAGUCCGAAGCGCACUUGCUACCGGACUUGCUUAUCCCUGACCUCCCUUCAUAAAUUGAUGCCCUUGUGUGCUAUCGUCAGGCGUGAUUACGUCCCAGCCCAAAUGCAUAUGAAACCAGGGCCGAGGACUUAAUAAGAGGUGUGCUUUAUUAGAGUUGCGCACUUUUCCUGGGAAUUAUAGAAUCGGUAAGGGUGAGGGCGAGGAGAGGUGUCGCCGACGUGUGCGGGUCCGAGUUAACCGAGGGCAGGAAUGCCAAGGUUACUAACUGGGGAAAUUAAUCAAUAAGUGAGAGCCUCCUUGACUCUCUCUCUCUCUUUCUCUUUUGUCUGUUCUAAAGAGAGAGUAGUGGAGAGACGGACCUCUGGCUUUAGUGAUGCCUCGCCAGCCUUGUUGCUAGGCGGGGAUAUAUGUACGUUUGGAUUAUAAAAUAAUGUCUGGGCGUGGAUGAGGGUGUGAGUUUAAGAAGGAAAUUAGGUUCGCUACACAGGUUUCGCAAAGGUUCACGUAUUUUCUUAUCUUUUGUUUUAGUUUUGUUAGUUUAGUUAUGGUAACUUACCUUAAGUCUUGUUAAUCCAGUUUAGUUUUUUUAAGUUUAAUCAUCCUUUUUUUAUAAAUGACCCCGUAACUAUACAGAAAUUCUACUUGUAAAGAGCAAGGCAAUUGUUUUUCCAAAUACUCGAUUUGAGCGUCUUUGUCCAUUUUCUCUGAGGUUUUUGUGGGAUUGUUUCAAAACGUAGUGUGACACACAAAAUCAACAGUCGCAACAAUACUUUUUUAAUUUCUGUUGAAAGCAUCUUUUUGCGUUUAUUUAUCCAGGUUGGCAGUUUAUUUAGUUUUAUUUUUGUCUUUCUAAUCUGUUAAUGAAAUUUUGAUUGAUUUCUGUAUUGUUUUGCUAUAGUCUCUGACAGAUUUUUGAUCAAGUCAACGUCGGGUUGGUUUGCCUUAGUUACAUCUGCGUAGCUUGCUUUUCCGAUAUUUUGAUUUAAGUUUAUAUUUUUUUUUGUUUAAUAUUUUCUCUUUCUUUUAUUUUUGAUUUUUCCUUUCCCUUCUUCUCUCUCUUUUUAACUGAAUGACAAACUUUCGGCGCAAUUCUGCAAGUGCGCCUUCAAUGGUUGCCGCUUCCUCAAUCGAUCCUCGCGCUGCUUCUGUUAAUCGAGAGCGCAUAAAACGUAAAAAAUCUUCCUCUGGUCCCUUUGGACUGUUACGUCCGAGAUCCAGGACUCUAACGUUUCCGCUGAUCCGGUAAACUUUUCCACCAUUUUGAUGGCGAGCCCUAGAUUCAAUCGGUUUGCCAGUGUUUGGCCUGGUUCCACAAUCAAGUUUGACAAGUCCAAAUCAAGGGUCGUUUUUAGGGAAGGCUUAGUGUCCGUGACACACUUGCUAAGACUUUCCUUUAUGUAGUUUUUUAGUUCUUUGAGCCUUUUGUCUAAUAUUUUUUGAGAUUCAAAAUUCUUCUCUCGGAUAACUGCUUGCUGAAGCUUAUCCAGAAUCUUGUUGAUUUUAAUUUGUACAAACUCGAGUGAUUUUCUAGUUUGCACUUUCUGUAGAAGGCUAAUCUAGGCACUAUUUGUGACAGUUUUUUUAAUGCAAUUUUGUGAUCUAUCAUUAUACGUAAAAAGAGAAGGAAGAGAUUGGUAGCCUUCUGUCCACGAGGUUUGUGGAUGGUCCCGAAUGAGUUUCUGGGGAAUGGGAUAGAACCGAAAGAAGCACAGGAAAUGAGAAUUUUGCUGAAAUUUGUUAGUAAUGUCUGAGUUUUUCUAAUGCGUCUGUUUUCUUUUCCUUGUAAUACAGCUUUAAAAAAUAAUUAAAGCGCUCAAAAAUUCUUUAAAAGUUAGUAACAUACAGAAAAUAAUCUCUCGAGAAGUCUAAUGUCUUACAAUUAUUUGCUCAAUCUGUGUCUUAGUCUUGCCUGUAUGUUUAAGAUAAAAACAAAGCUGAUGAGUUGUAAAACGUUCCGUUUUUAAGGUAGUUAUCACCUCGGGGUCACCAAUGUGUUGAUGGCUCAUUUCCUGUAUACGUCUAAUUGUCAGCUAAUAAGCUGACAUCAAGUCUUAAAAAAAUAAUUUAAAAUGUGAUAGCAGAAAAAGGGUGGGCGUUUUGCUCUCGCAAUAUGUAAAUUAUGCGAAUUUCAGAGCGAGUCCACGUACAGCGCUACUACCCCUUUAUAUGGCGUCGUUUUGAUCUCACCAAUCUGCGUGAAAUCUUAGGCAAAAUUGAAUUAAAUUUCAAAAUUCAAAAAUGCACCUGAAAGGGCUUGAAUAAUACAAUAAAAUGAAUGGUGAAGCAUCUCAGUUGGUUAAACCUGAAGAGAGUUAUUGGCAUUUUAGUGAAAAAAACAGCUCAAUUUUCAAACUCCAAUAAAAAAGUGUUCUCUGAAAAUGAGAAAGCUAUGGGUUAGGCAAUUUAACAUAUAAAAUAGACACUUUUUUCUUUUAGUUAUUUUUUUGGGUGUAAAUUUUUGCUGUCUCACUCACAAAGGAGAAACUAACACAAGGCCUUCUUAGAUCCCGUUUUCGGAAAAUAAUGUUAUCAAAUUCGUGUACCUGAGCCAAUUUCACAAUAGAAACAUGCAUACAAAUGUGUAUUUUCAUCCAAAAAAGUAAAAAAAAAUCGAAUCUCAUUUAUUGAAAAUCAGUUUCAUUUCCAAGGACACUUAGAUUUCACUAGAAAAAAGCAGCUUCUUAAUUUUUUUAACUUUCAUUUUUUAAUGGAUGUAAACUGCCCAUGUUCGCAUAAAUGUCCCAUAUGCAAAAACAGCAAGCUGAGAAAAACGCAUUUGAAGUUUGUCCCAUACAUAAGGCUACGUGUUAAGUUUUCGCGAAAAACUGGAUUUCCUCCUGAUUUCUAGAACAAAGUAUUGGAUGUUAUAGGCUCUUUUGAAAGAACACACAAUUUUAAACCAAACUGCAUCAAACACUCAAAAUCGAUGAAAAUGCAUAUGGGACAUUUAUGCGAUCAGGGGCAGUAAAUGGAUGAAAAUAAUGGUCGAAUCGAGUUGAUACCUGGAUGGAUCACUUUUUAUUUCAGUUUAAAAAUUAUGCCAUUUUUCACCAGAACACCAAUAACUCCCUUCAGACUUAACCAAUUCAGAUGCAUUUUGAAUUUGAAAAUUAUUUUUUUUAAUUUUGUUUAAGUUAAAGUCUAUUUAAGAUGCUUGACGUCUUUGAACCUUCAAUCUUUGUGAGUGAGACAGUAUUUUGGCCAGAUGCUAGUUUUAAAACAAACCCUGAAAAUGGGUACUCGUGGACUCGCUCUUAAUUAUUCUAUAAUCUAAUUUCUAGUUAUUUUUUUUUUCUUGAGUUUUCUUUAACCUUAAGUGUUUGUUUUUAAAAUUUUCGUUGAGUAUCGUAAAAAAAAGUGACUUUGUUUUUGCAAAAUUAAAAAUACGAAUUAAAUUUAAAUGGAAUUGUAUGGCACUGAAGAGGAGAAACUAACACUUUUCAGUCCCGCUCCCGCAGGGACUGUGAUAUUUCACUGGAAGAACAAAAACCGCACUGUUUCACUUCGCUGUCUAAAUCGAACUAACUUUUAUUAACUUCUUCUAUGGUAGCUUAUCCUAUGCCGAUUGUCGGGCCAGCCGCGUGGCCACCGACUCCAAUUUUCGCAAACGACGCACAUUGCGACUCCAGCGCCAUUCUUAUGCGGUAUUAACACUGAAUGAGCUGCAACAUUGUUGCAGCUCGAUCCGGCGGCACUUGAUACUUGCCGACUCGACUGUUAGCGAGUUUAUUUGUUUAAAUAAACUCGGUUUGGCCAAACAGGGCCGUGGUGGUCUAGCACAUUUUGUGCUGACAAUGUGAUUGGAGUGCUGAUCGGAACUACCGAUAUCGGUAGCGAUCAAGGCUCAACUUAGAUCGCACAAUUUUCUCCCCCAUUGGGGCGAAGUCUGUCGGCCCAAAUUUUAUCAGGUCCAACAGAAGAAGGCGCAUUGUUUUCGUGCUCGAGCCUACUUGCUUCAUUGCAGGGUUCUAUGUAGUCUUCGAUUGAAGACAUCUCUAUAGGUAGAGGAGCUAGUAGUCUGACGUUCCUCUUGUAAAGGUUUGCUCCAACUCUGAUAGUUGCCACUCGGACAACUCCGUCGGACCAUUUAGCCACCGGGUUAUGUGGUCUUCCCAGCCCAAUUUUGUCUUCCACAAACUUUGUAGAAGUAUUUUGGCAGUUAUAAUAAUCGGUUGCAUUAUUCCUAAUGGAUCGUACAACCGUAAUACUACAGAAGCUAAUUGUCUCUUCGUCAUUGAAGUCCUGAUAGCCUGUUGUUCUUCCACGAGGAACUUGAAGGUGUCUUCUCGUGGUGACCAGGCUACACCUAAGGGCUUUUGUUAAUUUGAUUUGGUUAACCGCGGUGGAUUUUCUUUAAAUAAUUCGAACUGUCAAAAAUCCACCAAAACAUCUACCACAUUGAUCACACAAAAAACUGUGGUAGAAAAGUAUCUACCGGUAGAUCCUUUGGUGGAUUUUUGACAGUUCGAAUUAUUUCAAGAAAAUCCACCGCGGUUAACCAAAUCAAAUUAACAAAAGCCCUCUAAUGUUUUAAUUAUGUCAUGAUCGCCAAUGCGGAUUUCAGUUUCACGAUCAUGAUUCGGGAUGUCUGCUAUGAUGCUUAAAUCAUUAGCCGCCCAUUUCCGGAGGGGGAAGCCUCGCUUCAUAAGCGCAGCUUCCACCGCUCUCCUUCGAUCCAGUAACUCUUCCGCUGAAUCUCCCCCCAUCAUGAGGUUGUCGACGUAAAAUCGUCGUUGAAUCAUUGCGGCGAUCUCUGGUAGCUCUGUUCGGAGCUCUUCUCCAACUUGAUGAAGAGCUCGGCAUGCCAAAAAUGAUGACGCAGCCUCGCCGUUAGUUACCGUCUUGAGACGGUAUACUUGAAUGGGUUCUUCUGGGGUGUUCCUCCAUAGGAUAGUUUGAAACCAUGAGUCUACUUCGUGGACGACCACUUGCCGGUACAUUUUUGCUAUGUCGCCCAUUAGCACCUUGUCAUGGCAUCUGAAGUCCAACAACAGAUCAAAUUGAUCCGAUUGGAUUGGAGGUCCGCUAAGCAUUGCAUCGUUCAGUGACCUUCCGUUGGUAGUUUUGGCGCUGGCAUCAAAUACUACCCUAAGUUUGGUAGACGUUGAGUCAGGCUUAAUUACGCAUGAGUGCGGUAUGAAAUAGCGCACUUUACAAAUAUCUUUCUGCUCGACCAUUUCCAUAUGGUCCAGUUCCAGAUAUUCCUUAAGAAAGGCUCGAUACUGAUCAUAAACAAUAGGGUUCUGAGCUAGCUUUCUCUCAAGAUUUAACAGGCGUUUCUUGGCCUGUUCGAAUGAAUCUCCUAAAAGCACUGGCUCUUCUUUGAAGGGGAGUCGAACAACAUAUUUGCCGUCCUCCCUUAUGGUAGUGGUCUGGACAAAAAAGUCUUCGCACCUAUUGUUGCUGUUUAGUGACUUCGCUUCCGCUACAGUCACCUCUUCCAGCGCCCAAAAUUUAGAUAACAGAUCCUCUAGUCGAUCUUUUGCAUUGCUCUCCAGAGACUCUUCCUGUGGCUCAGAUAAUGGAUCUAGCAGACUCAACCUUCCCGGUGAAAAAUGUAGAACUGGGUAGGACAGACUGUAGGACCACUAUCGCGCUGUUUUGAAACAGUUUCGUUAGACAGUCGAGCUUCGAACUGUCAAAAUGUGGUUGACAGUGUACGUCCUACAGUAGUCCUACAUCGUACUACAUGGUUGCAUGGGAUGUCUAGCCCUUGUCGCUCUGGUUUAUUUUGGCUUGUUUUCUUACUUUUUUUCUAAAACAAGAGCUUGGUGUUGAUUUUGUUGGUGUUUUAUUAAGCAUUUAUGAGCAAAAAGUUUUAUUAUUAUAUUUCUUACCACGAGUAGAUACUUGCCGAAGAUUUUGAGUGGCAAGCAAUCUGAAGCUGGGAUUUUUGGCAAUUUCUUCGUCCUGCCUUGGCUGCUUCUUCUCUUGUUUGAUUCUGUGGAAUUGCAAAGAGCGAAUUGGAAAGCUUAGUGAUCAGUGGAAAUGAGCCUCAACUUGCUUCCUGACCGAAAACUUUUUUACUACAUCUGUCAAAAUAAAACGGGAGGAACAUGUUCGAAAGAAAAUAAACCGUGCCAUCUCUUUCACUCUAAGGGAAUGAAUACAAACGUCAAAUCUGAUCGAUUUGAUCGACGCAAGACAUUCGACAUUGAGUUAACCACGCUUUUUUCUGGGUUGACGUAGUACUGAUCGUUGUUUUCUUCGAUCAGUUGGCGAAGUGUCUUGUUGAUGAUGCGGAGGUCCUCGGCGUCGGGAUUUCCCGCAAUCCAUUUCCAGGUCCUUCCAACCGUGUCCCGUCGUUUUUGUCUUCGAUGGCUUCAGUUGAUAGAAGUUGGCGUAGAGUUGUUUCACUUUAUAUUUUACUAUCUGGGUUAGUUGAUUCUUACCAUCUAUGCUAGUCUGCUAUUUGUAGAUCCGAUUUCCAUCGGUUCAUUUAAUUGUGCAUAAUUUUUAGUCUGCUUAGCUUGACUAUUGUUUUGCUGAUAUUGCGCGUUUUUCUUAUAUAUUUGUGGUUUACCUCAGUUUGCUUAAAAAAUUGGUCAUUUAUAUUGUUAGCAAGGUUCUCAGAACUUCUGAAUUUACGAACAAAAGCGUAAGCUUCCUUGAUAUUUACCGGUUUAACCCAAACAUAUCUUUCGGUAGCCCUGCUAGAAAUGCAGCAAGGGCUUCCUGUUCUAUGGAUUUGUUCAUCGCGUUCCAAGCCGCUCUAUAUUCGGGGUCUUGCUGUGAUAAAUUCUAAAUUAUUUGAAUUGUCUCUUUAAUAUUAUUAUAAUGGCUGUAUCACGUAGUAUUCGGUGUUUCCACAUGCUGCCCAUAGCUGGCAUUUGUAAAAUGUUAGAUCUUGAUGAUCUCCAUGGUGGUGAAUAAGAGAAGCUUUAACCUCUUCGAAAGUGGUUGGGUUUCCGUUGACACAAAGUUUAUCUUUGGGCCUACCGUCAAUUUUACCGUUUAUUAUGGUGCGCAAAAACUUUGCAUUCUGUUCAUCAGUAUAGUACGGUUGAAGUUGCUCAAGUGUCGUUUCAACAUUCGAAAGCCAUGCGUUGAGCUGUUUUUUAUUGGCGUCAAAUUUGCUGAUUCCGUGUUUAAUUGGAUCGGGGACAUCAAAAUAGUGUAGCGGCUGCACUGCAGGUGGUGCGGCGGGUGCCGGAGGUGUUUGGGCUGCUUGCGCAGCUUGCUGUGAUCCAAGAGCGUUAAUAAGUUGUUGCUGUCUUUGCUGUUAAGCUAAAAUGUUACCAAGGUUUGCAGCCAUGUCGGCAAGUUGCUGACCUAUUUGUUCCAUAGUUAAUUCUAUAGUCAGUUAUUUAUUUCAGGCGUUUCCUGGAUCGGAAUGUGCGCCAAAUCGUGGUUCGAUUCGACUGAAGAAUCCGAAUCUUCAGUUUCUGAAAUAUUUCGCGGAAAGAUUGCACGCACUCGUUGGAGAGCUGUUCUUUCUCGUUUGUUUUUUUGGCAUACAUUUUGUUAAGGCACUUCCCCGACACUCUUGAUGUCAGAAUCACAAUGAUUUUCAGGGAUAUGGGAUUCGGGAUAGUGGGAUUCGGGGAUAAGGGAUAAAACCGUGACUAUCAAAGACACCCCGGUUUUUAAACUAAAAAAAUCCUAAGAAACUUUUUUUAAAUCACUAUCGAAAUAGAACUUUACUGUUAAAAUGUACAUCGAAGUUGUUUGGGCUUCGGUUUGAAUAAUAUAAAUCAUGAGUCAAGGCUUACCGGUCGAAUUAAAUAUUAUUAUAUUAUAAUUGAAAUCCUAUCAAUGUCACCCUACUUUAGCUAAUUUAGACUGCUUGAACAACAUUUUUUUCCCCGAUUUUAUUUUGCUUACCUUUUUUCAAUACAAACAAAAAUAUAUAAAUACUUGAUUUUCGGAAUUUGAAAUGAACUAGCAAUUCUUUCCUAAACAAAUAUACACGGAAAUCAUUGAAAAAGCGAAAAAUAAUGAGACAGUUCCAAAUGGAUCGAAAACAUGAGUUGUAAUCCAAAGUGCCAUCGUCGUACUUUUUUUCCGUAUGAGACGCAAGAAAAUCAGUUCUCCCAAUAAAACAUAAUAACAAUAAAUAUCUACGAAACCAAAACAAACCUUAAAAAUAUCGCAGUGGAAGAGGGCAGAUUCCUAGAAGAUAGAGCAAAGACAAACUGCAACUACAUUACCAAUAAAAUAGGUGCUAGUUUAGUGUAAAACUCAAACUGAACAGGAAAAUUUAAAUGGAAAGCAAUCUAACAUUGCAAUAAACUUAAAACUACUCAAGGAGCUAUAACACUACUGCAAACAAAC